rnacentral:rRNA from 1 species
UACCGAGGUGGCAAGCGUUGUUCGGAAUUACUGGGCGUAAAGGGCGCGUAGGCGGUCUUGUCAGUCCCUUGUGAAAUCCCCCGGCUCAACUGGGGAACUGCACGGGAAACAGCAGGGCUUGAGUUCGGGAGAGGGAAGCGGAAUUCCGGGUGUAGCGGUGAAAUGCGUAGAUAUCCGGAGGAACACCGGUGGCGAAGGCGGCUUCCUGGACCGAUACUGACGCUGAGGCGCGAAAGCUAGGGGAGCAAACGGG